AAAUUCGGCCCGCGACUUAGCCUGUGUUUUAGAUUUCGGCCCCCUUAUGUGAUUGAGUUUGACACCCCUGCUCUAACAGAUCCCGGUAAAAACCGACUAACAGGUUCCAGUAGUACUGACACCUAGUGGUUCCAUUUGAGAACUGCAGAUGAGCCGCAGGCAAUUGAAAAAUAAGUGUUUUUUCAGCAAGAGCAGCAUCAAUUCGUCUACAACACAAUCAGGGACAGCGGGCUGUGCUAAUAAAAUCAGGACUGUCCCACGAAGAUCGGACUAUUUUGGGAGAACAACAAAGCCCUUUCAAUGCUAAGGUCAUUGUUUGUGCUGAGGAGCAAUAAAUAGUUGGGCUGAAGAGCACAAGGAUCUGGUGUUGUCUUCUGCUGCUGGGGAAAGAGACUGACCAUGCUGUGCCGAGUUGCCUUCUUUACUCUGCUGGUCCUGUCUUUGGUGCAGGAAGACAGCUGCUAUUCAUGUAAGGGAAAAUCAGGAGUAUCUGAGAAGAAACACAAGAUCCUGGACCUGUCAGAUACAGUAGCAAAUGAAGUCAAUGAGAUUAUUGACAAGAAGAAGCACAAGAAGCUGCUGGAAACAGUAAAGGAGAAGGUACAGGAUAAGAUUUGUUUCACCAAACUUGACGCUGACACCAAGUCCGCCGUCACACACAAGUUAGAGAAAAUUCAAAGGAAACUUAAAAAGGGCAAACUGACCAAGGGAGACAUAAUCCAAUUCCUGGAGAAUGACCCGCUCAAUAAGAUUAAGGAAUAUUUUUCUGAACUAUUCGACAAGCAAACACACAGGAGACAUUAAAACCCCAACAGAAGGGAUAAAUAUCUAAAGUAUAUUGUACCUGAAGUAAUUCUGCUGCAUGUCCUACAAGCCUUCAUGCCAUUAGCAUCAACCCAGUGCUGUGCCUUCUACUUACCUUAUAAAUAAAUUGCCUUUCUGAAUGUAUUUCAUUGAAAUCGAAAUCCCUACAGCAAGAAUAAAGAAAGUUCAAAUUGUGCAUAAAAA